GCGGGUGAAAAGCCCGCUCGCCGGAAGACCAAGGGUUCCUGUCCAACGUUAAUCGGGGCAGGGUGAGUCGACCCCUAAGGCGAGGCCGAAAGGCGUAGUCGAUGGGAAACGGGUUAAUAUUCCCGUACUUGGUGUUACUGCGAAGGGGGGACGGAGAAGGCUAUGUUGGCCGGGCGACGGUUGUCCCGGUUUAAGCGUGUAGGUGUGUGUUCCAGGUAAAUCCGGUUCACUUUAACACUGAGGCGUGAUGACGAGGCACUACGGUGCUGAAGCAACAAAUGCCCUGCUUCCAGGAAAAGCCUCUAAGCAUCAGGUAACAUCAAAUCGUACCCCAAACCGACACAGGUGGUCAGGUAGAGAAUACCAAGGCGCUUGAGAGAACUCGGGUGAAGGAACUAGGCAAAAUGGUGCCGUAACUUCGGGAGAAGGCACGCUGACACGUAGGUGAAGUGAUUUACUCACGGAGCUGAAGUCAGUCGAAGAUACCAGCUGGCUGCAACUGUUUAUUAAAAACACAGCACUGUGCAAACACGAAAGUGGACGUAUACGGUGUGACGCCUGCCCGGUGCCGGAAGGUUAAUUGAUGGGGUCAGCGCAAGCGAAGCUCCUGAUCGAAGCCCCGGUAAACGGCGGCCGUAACUAUAACGGUCCUAAGGUAGCGAAAUUCCUUGUCGGGUAAGUUCCGACCUGCACGAAUGGCGUAAUGAUGGCCAGGCUGUCUCCACCCGAGACUCAGUGAAAUUGAACUCGCUGUGAAGAUGCAGUGUACCCGCGGCAAGACGGAAAGACCCCGUGAACCUUUACUAUAGCUUGACACUGAACAUUGAGCCUUGAUGUGUAGGAUAGGUGGGAGGCUUUGAAGUGUGGACGCCAGUCUGCAUGGAGCCGACCUUGAAAUACCACCCUUUAAUGUUUGAUGUUCUAACGUGGACCCGUAAUCCGGGUUGCGGACAGUGUCUGGUGGGUAGUUUGACUGGGGCGGUCUCCUCCUAAAGAGUAACGGAGGAGCACGAAGGUUGGCUAAUCCUGGUCGGACAUCAGGAGGUUAGUGCAAUGGCAUAAGCCAGCUUGACUGCGAGCGUGACGGCGCGAGCAGGUGCGAAAGCAGGUCAUAGUGAUCCGGUGGUUCUGAAUGGAAGGGCCAUCGCUCAACGGAUAAAAGGUACUCCGGGGAUAACAGGCUGAUACCGCCCAAGAGUUCAUAUCGACGGCGGUGUUUGGCACCUCGAUGUCGGCUCAUCACAUCCUGGGGCUGAAGUAGGUCCCAAGGGUAUGGCUGUUCGCCAUUUAAAGUGGUACGCGAGCUGGGUUUAGAACGUCGUGAGACAGUUCGGUCCCUAUCUGCCGUGGGCGCUGGAGAACUGAGGGGGGCUGCUCCUAGUACGAGAGGACCGGAGUGGACGCAUCACUGGUGUUCGGGUUGUCAUGCCAAUGGCACUGCCCGGUAGCUAAAUGCGGAAGAGAUAAGUGCUGAAAGCAUCUAAGCACGAAACUUGCCCCGAGAUGAGUUCUCCCUGAGACUU
rnacentral:rRNA from 2 species